rnacentral:rRNA from 1 species
AUGUUGGGUUGUCGAGCUGCGUCAACCCCAAUUAAUCAAAACCAUAACGUGACUGCCCAAUCAGGUGAUCUGCUGGAUAAAGAAAAAUAUCAACGAUUGGUGGGAAGAUUGUUGUACUUGUGUCAUACACAACCAGACAUUGCAUUGGCAAUAAGUGUUGUAAGUAGAUAUAUGCAUGAGCGUAGAAGUGAACAUCUUGAGGCAGUACAUAGAAUCUUGAGAUACUUGAAGGGUUUUCGUAGGAAAGGACUGAUAUACAAGAGUCAUGGACACCUUGUCAUGGAUGGUUAUUGUGAUGCUGAUUGGGCUAGCUGCCUGGAUGGCAAGAGAUCAACUUCAAGCCAUUGUGUUUUUGUGGGAGGAAAUCUAGCAUCUUGGAGGAGCAAGAAACAACUUAUUAUCUCCAAAUCAACUACAGAGGCUGAAUACAGAGCCAUGCCUUGUUAUGGAUAA